AUUGAACGCUGGCGGCAUGCUUUACACAUGCAAGUCGAACGGCAGCGCGGGCUUCGGCCUGGCGGCGAGUGGCGAACGGGUGAGUAAUGCAUCGGAACGUGCCCAGUAGUGGGGGAUAGCCCGGCGAAAGCCGGAUUAAUACCGCAUACGACCUGUUGGUGCAAGCGGGGGACCGAAAGGCCUCGCGCUAUUGGAGCGGCCGAUGUCGGCAUAGCUAGUUGGUGGGGUAAAUGGUUACCAAGGCGGGGGACCGUAGCUGGUCUGAGGGGACGGCCCGGCACCUUGGGAGUGAGGAAGAGCCCACACUCCUGGGGGGAGGCGCAGCGGGGAAUUUUGGGCGAUGGGGGAAACCCUGAUCCAGCCCUGCCGGCUGCAGGAAGAAGGCCUUCGGGUUGUAAACCGCUUUUGUUCGGGAAGAAAUCCUCUGGGCUAAUACCCCGGGGGGAUGACGGUACCGGAAGAAUAAGCACCGGCUAACUACGUG
rnacentral:rRNA from 1 species